rnacentral:rRNA from 1 species
GACGAACGCUGGCGGCGUGCCUAAUACAUGCAAGUCGAGCGGAUGGAAGGAAGCUUGCUUCCUAAAGUCAGCGGCGGACGGGUGAGUAACACGUGGGCAACCUGCCCCUAAGAUCGGGAUAACUUCGGGAAACCGGAGCUAAUACCGGAUAUGAUUAUGUCUCACAUGAGACAUAAUGGAAAGACGGUUUUGGCUGUCACUUCGGGAUGGGCCCGCGGCGCAUUAGCGAGUUGGUGAGGUAACGGCUCACCAAGGCGACGAUGCGUAGCCGACCUGAGAGGGUGAUCGGCCACACUGGGACUGAGAAACGGCCCAGACUCCUACGGGAGGCAGCAGUAGGGAAUCUUCCGCAAUGGACGAAAGUCUGACGGAGCAACGCCGCGUGAGUGGAGAAGGUUUUCGGAUCGUAAAACUCUGUUGUUAGGGAAGAACAAGUACCAUAGUAACUGAUGGUACCUUGACGGUACCUAACCAGAAAGCCACGGCUAACUACGUGCCAGCAGCCGCCGUAAAAC